GUGGGAGUAGCGAAGUGGUCAAACGUGACAGCCUCAAGAGCUGUUGGCUUAGUGCCUUCGCAGGUUCGAUCCCUGCCUCCCACA
rnacentral:tRNA from 1 species